GAGUUUGAUCUUGGCUCAGAGUGAACGCUGGCGGCAGGCCUAACACAUGCAAGUCGAGCGGCAGCACAGCAGUAGCAAUACUGGUGGGUGGCGAGCGGCGGACGGGUGAGGAACACAUCGGAAUCUACCCUGUCGUGGGGGACAACGUAGGGAAACUUACGCUAAUACCGCAUACGACCUUUGGGUGAAAGCGGGGGACCCGGCAAGGGCCCCGCGCGAUUGGAUGAGCCGAUGUCCGAUUAGCUAGUUGGCGGGGUAAUGGCCACCAAGGCGACGAUCGGUAGCUGGUCUGAGAGGACGACCAGCCACACUGGAACUGAGACACGGUCCAGACUCCUACGGGAGGCAGCAGUGGGGAAUAUUGGACAGUGGGGGCAACCCUGAUCCAGCCAUGCCGCGUGGGUGAAGAAGGCCUCGGUUGU
rnacentral:rRNA from 1 species